rnacentral:rRNA from 1 species
AUCAUGGCUCAGAUUGAACGCUGGCGGCAGGCCUAACACAUGCAAGUCGAGCGGAUGAAAGGGGCUUGCUCCUGGAUUCAGCGGCGGACGGGUGAGUAAUGCGCAGGAAUCUACCUAGUAGUGGGGGAUAACGUUUCGAAAGGAACGCUAAUACCGCAUACGUUCUGAGGAAGAAAGCAGGGGAUCGUAAGACCUUGCUCUAUUAGAUGAGCUUGCGUCCGAUUAGCUAGUUGGUGGGGUAAAGGCCUACCAAGGCGACGAUCGGUAACUGGUCUGAGAGGAUGAUCAGUCACACUGGAACUGAGACACGGUCCAGACUCCUACGGGAGGCAGCAGUGGGGAAUAUUGGACAAUGGGGGCAACCCUGAUCCAGCCAUGCCGCGUGUGUGAAGAAGGCCUUCGGGUUGUAAAGCACUUUAAGCGGGGAGGAAGGCCUGAUGGCUAAUAUCCAUCGGGAUUGACGUUACCCGCAGAAUAAGCACCGGC